rnacentral:rRNA from 1 species
CCUACGGGAGGCUGCAGUGGGGAAUAUUGCGCAAUGGGCGAAAGCCUGACGCAGCGACGCCGCGUGAGGGAUGAAGGUCUUCGGAUCGUAAACCUCUGUCAGCAGGGAAGAACGGUCACUGUGCUAAUCAGCCGUGAAUUGACGGUACCUGCAAAGGAAGCACCGGCUAACUCCGUGCCAGCAGCCGCGGUAAUACGGAGGGUGCGAGCGUUAAUCGGAAUUACUGGGCGUAAAGCGCUCGUAGGCGGUAUGUCAAGUCAAGGGUGAAAUCCCCGCGCUCAACGUGGGAACUGCCUUUGAUACUGGCAAACUGGAGUGUGUGAGAGGAUAGUAGAAUUCCAGGUGUAGGAGUGAAAUCCGUAGAUAUCUGGAGGAACAUCAGGGGCGAAGGCGACUAUCUGGCACAUAACUGACGCUGAGGAGCGAAAGCGUGGGUAGCAAACAGGAUUAGAUACCCUGGUAGUC